UGUUGAGCUUGACUCUAGUCCGACAUUGUGAAAUGACUUAAGAGGUGUAGAAUAAGUGGGAGCGCAAGCGCCGGUGAAAUACCACUACUUUUAAUGUUAUUUUACUUAUUCCGUUGAGUAGAGCUGGGGCCCCAAGCCCCACUUUCUGGAUUUAAGUUACCUUCGGGGGCGAUCUAGGCGGAAGACAUUGUCAGGUGGGGAGUUUGGCUGGGGGGGCACAUCUGUUAAACG
rnacentral:rRNA from 1 species